CCUACGGGAGGCUGCAGUGGGGAAUAUUGGACAAUGGGGGGAACCCUGAUCCAGCCAUGCCGCGUGUGUGAAGAAGGCCCUCGGGUUGUAAAGCACUUUCAGUGAGGAAGAACGCCUGGUGGUUAAUACCCAUCAGGAAAGACAUCACUCACAGAAGAAGCACCGGCUAACUCCGUGCCAGCAGCCGCGGUAAUACGGAGGGUGCGAGCGUUAAUCGGAAUUACUGGGCGUAAAGCGCGCGUAGGUGGCUUGAUAAGCCGGUUGUGAAAGCCCCGGGCUCAACCUGGGAACGGCAUCCGGAACUGUCGAGCUAGAGUGCAGGAGAGGAAGGUAGAAUUCCCGGUGUAGCGGUGAAAUGCGUAGAGAUCGGGAGGAAUACCAGUGGCGAAGGCGGCCUUCUGGACUGACACUGACACUGAGGUGCGAAAGCGUGGGUAGCAAACAGGAUUAGAUACCCCGGUAGUC
rnacentral:rRNA from 1 species